rnacentral:lncRNA from 1 species
CUGGUAGUGCCCCAGUUUGGCCGCAGCCCAAUGACUGAAGCGAAUAACAAGAUGUUGCUUUCUGUAGCGUGGAAAUAAAUAAACGUUAAAUUUUGGGAUCAAGGACGAAAAAUCCAGGAUCAUGUUAAAAGAAGACGAAACGAAAUGUGUUGGACCAAGAUGAUUAAUGCAGCGGUGAGUGACUCAAAGUGCUAUAGAUCAGAUUUGCAUCGAACGGAACUUAUUUUCAACCAAAAGGUAAAGUGUAACUAGAGCAAAUCACUUGAAAAUAAGGUAUUGGAAUUUUUUUUUAUAAAACCAGCCUAAUUACCGAUGAUGUUAAUAUACAAGGUGUUCAACUUAUUAUAUACAUGUAUAUCUCCCUCAUGUAUUUAUAUAUAUCGAGAUUAAAGUAUAGUCACUAUCUUCAGUAGGAUAUACUCGCGUAGACUAACCCAAGGUUUUAACGUCGAUAUGUAGAGCAUUUGGAAAGGAAUGAACGCCUCAAAAUCAUCAGAAGUUUUCCGUUAACUAGCAUUUUAACAGCAUGGAUUGAAAACCAUCUGUGGGUGAAUGCAUAUACCUAAAAUGAACAAAUAACGUAAUCUAGAAUUUUUUUUUAUUGCUAAUUAAGGUUAUUAUAAAAAAUACACAACUGCUUUCAAAAUAUUUUGAUGCAAUAAUGGAGCAAUAAGAAGAUUAAUUUAGCUGGCUGUUCAUUUAGUUCAUCAUAUAAAUUUGUUCGCUGACAUCAUUUCCAUUUUUUUUUUCUUUCAGCUUAAAAUGCAUUGAUAAAGCAUUCUCCCUCCUGUUAAAUCAAGGGACUUCACGGACACAACAGAUACUGUGAGUUUGAUAUAUUUAUUUAAUAUUUUGUUACAAAUAUCCAUAUAUUUUAUAUUACAUAUUAGCUGAUGCUUUAAGUGUGAAGCAAGUCUAGAGGCUGAGGUCUAUUUUACACAAUAAACAUACACCCAAAUCGACUUUGUUCUAUAACAGGGUGCGUGUACGUGUGUAAUUAUUCAGAUGGCGGGACAAUUGUUAAAACGCCGGCCUGUGUAACUUUAAACUGACUUUAUCAGAAUCCUUGGUCGACGCACACAUCCUUCAUUUUUAUUUACGGCUAACGAAAAUGGAUGCACCGUUUAAUAAUAUCUGGAAGUAAGUAGUAUAAUGCGAUACGAGUGGGAGGGUGAAAAAGAUGACAACUGAAACGUCUACCUUAGGUUAGAGAUGUCAAUGAACGGAGAGAGGGGGAUGCGGUGAAGCUAUCCACUCGGUCGCUUCCGGCUGUGAAGGCGCACCGCGCACUUCCUUACAUAGGUAUGACAUUUCUGAAAAUAUAAAUAGUAUGCUGUGGCAUUCAUCCUUUCCCUUAAGGUGUUCGAGAUGGAAGCAAUUCAAACAGAAAAUCAAAACAAGGGCUUGUACUUAACAAACACACACGCAUUCCUUCUCACUAAGGUUUUAUUAUAUAUAUAUAUAUAUAUAUAUAUACACACACACACAGAUUUGUUACAGAUGUAUUAAGGGGUCUCUUUCUCCCCACCACUCAUACAUCACGCAGAUUUCUGACAAAGGUAUUAGUGUAUAUUUCUCUUACUCUCACACACACAUUAACUUUGGUUUUAGACUGCGGGAAUUGAAAACUAUGCCAGCGAACAAAAUAAUUAUAUGUACCAGAGCAGACCAAGAAACCUAAUGUAACUUCGUAUUACUAAUUAUUAAUUAGAUCUAAGAAGAAACUACCGUUCAAAACAUUCUUGCAACAAGUCAGAUACCCUGUCCAUAUAGAGUGGAUAAAUUAAAACUUAACAGGUUUUAAUUUUUAGCAGAAAAUAGGAAUUUAGCUUGUCAUUCCAUUAAAAAAUGGAAUGAAGAAAAAAAACAAACUAUUUCUAAUUAAAAUAAAUACACAUCCCGGUGUUCAAAGUAUAUCAUAUAUUUAUAAAUUUAUCUCUCUGGUGGUAUAUCUUAGCUUCUGUGUUCACCCACACACUUUUUUUUUUAACCAUAGGUGACUAUAAGUGGUUGCUUAUUGUUAAACGUAGUCGGCAAAUGAGACAAAUAAAAUGAGUGCCAAAUCAGACAUUUCCGAUCUGCACUGUUAAAACAUCUUUUCAGUGGUUGUUUUUCUUUUUUAACAAAAAAAAAAGACAACAAUCUCCCUAAUCUGCAAACGUAUAGCUCAUGCCAUCCAUACAGUACCCACCCCAUCUAUCAUGAUCUACAUCUCUUUCUAUAUAGCUGCUCUGUUGUCCCACUUGAAAGUCAAUGGGCACUUUAUUUUCUUUUUUUUUUUUUAAUUUACUUUUAUUUAUUUAUUCUCUUAUUCUCAGCUUUCUUAUCGAGCCUUCCGAUACCCCCCCCCCCCUAUAUAUCUAUUUAUCUGCCUGUCUUUAUAUCUUUUCUUUCCUUCCUUUCUCUUAGGUCUCUGUCAGAUAUUGUUGACGGACACCUAUUCAUUACACACCGGUCCGCUAUAUAAUGUGUAUGUGAUAUAUAUAUAUAUAUAUAUAUAUAUAUAUAUAUACACACACACACACACACAGACGCAGUGUGCUACGAACACUAUAUAUAUAUAUAAAUAUAUAAUAUGUGUGUAUGUGUAUAUAUAUAUAUAUAUAUAUAUAUGUGUAUAUAUAUAUAUAUAUAUAUGCUAUCUUGGAGAAAGUAAAAAUUAUCUUCACACUGGUACUUUGGAUGUUCGGUCUUAUCUAUCUAUCUAUUAUACACGUACACACAUACAUGUGUGCGCACGCUAAUUUUGCUUUUUUAUAAUGUAAAGAUUGAUAGUAACUUCGAAGUUUUGGGUACAUAGCCGUCAUUAGAUUAAAUAUGGUAGUCUUCUAAAACGUAUUCACUGAUCCUUCAAUUUAAUAUUCGAUUGUUAUAUAUAUAAUAUAUAUGUAUAUAACUUUACAAAAUCAUUACGUUCUUGUAUAUAAUAAUAUUCAUAACAGUGUGUUCGGCCAUUUUUCUUUUCUUCUUUCCUUAACUUUUAGAUAGGAAAAUAAAAUACGAAUAAAAUUAAUUUAAAAAACAAACAAACAAAAGAACGAGCUGAAGUAGAAAAAAAAAUCUUGUGCCAACAGGACACUAACCUAAUUCGACUUUUAAGAAAGAAUAUAGACACAUGCAACAUUGUAGACAACAAAGAAAGAAGAACGAAAAUCAUUCAUAUCAAUUUUGUUCUAAUACUAGAAGUCUUUUUGCAGCAACUGUGUUUUUUUAAUUAAUUUUUUUUUCUAUUUAUUUUGCAGCACCAGAUAAGCCAAAUCCGUAACGUAGGGUUUCGAUUCCCAGCUGCUGAAGUCAUUUAUUUUCACUUCAAUCAAGAAGCUUAAUAAUUUUACCCUUGGCCAAUCACUGCACGAAUGUCAUACAGUUCUCUCACUACACAACUACUAAACUUCUGUAAUUAAUGAAGUUGUGGCUUUUGUAUUUAAAUAAAUCAUAAUGAUAAUUGUUUUAUUUUUUGUCUUUUAAGCACCCACAGAGAGAGAGAUGACUUGAUUUCGAUUUCCGAUCGAACCAUUUCCGAUCGCUUACGUGUCUCAUGGCCUUGGGACAUGAAUAAACACCUUCAAUAAAACCUUUAUUGUGCCUCGGUAAGAAUUAUUAUUAUUAAUUUCUUCCGGCCUUUAUGUUCAGAGUUCAAAUCCCAAUGAGGUCAACUUCGCCUUUCACCCUUUCGGAGUCGGUAAAAGUCUUGGGGCUGGUGUAAGCAACUACCCCUCCCCCUCAAAAUGUCAGGCCUUGUGCCUAUGUAAUAAGAAGGCAUUAUUACUCAGAAUCAUUAGAGUGUGUCAGAAAAUAUACUUUGCAACAUUUUGUUCCGGUUCUUUAGAUUCUGAGUUCAAGUCUCGCCGAGGUUAACUUUGCCUUUCAACCCCUCAAAAUAAAAUAAGUACCAAUCAAAUACUGGAGAUUGAUGUUUAUCAACUAAACACACCUCUACUAUAAACAUCAUUGGCCUUGUACUCCAACUCGGAAACUAUUAUAUUUCGAUUGAGGGCCGUUCAGUGUCUAUGAAACAGAACAAGACAAUAUCUAUUUUAUUUAUUUAUUACAUCUACCCACCCGUCUCUUAUGGGUUAUUAUACACGACACUCCAAAAGACAACCCACACUACUAACAAAACCCGUGUCUGUUAGUCUGCUUUCUUGUUAAUCGAAUGGGAAGGGAGUUCAGCAAAUUAGUAACUUUUUUUUUCCGGCUUGAAAUGGCGAUCUUUUAAAACACUGUUGAAGAGUUUUGGUUCAACAAGGUUGUUUGUUGAUGGGACACUGACAGCGAACCGAAGUUGAUAUGCCCCCAACCCCCAUUCAAAGGAGCCAGUUAUGGGGAGAGAGAAGGAACGGGAGUAACAAAGCGCACACACAACACAUAGGGCGUUUUUUUGUUUGUUACUUUUUUUACUUCCUUAAAAUAUAGGACAAUCUAUAUAAUGCUGUAUAUACAGUUAUUUUUUUUUUUAUUUUACUUUCCUUGAGCAUGAAGUUCUAUAAAUAAACAAACAAAAUAAAAUAAACAGUUAAAAAGGAAGAAAAGAAAGAUCAAAGCAGUUUGCCGCAUGCUUUGAUCUUAUGAUUGACUGCGAGUUUUAACUAAGCUAGCUCAGACCACCGUCUAGCUGCAGCACUCGACAGGCAUUCAGCUAAAUUAAAUUACAGCCGAGUAAUAAUAAAAGCAGUGUUGUGCUUUAGUCUCCACAAUGGUCUUUUAAUGUGGGCGCGCAUACACAUUAAUAAACAUACACUCACACACACACAAUUAUAUUAUAUAUAUAUAUAUAUACACACACACAAAGAAAUAUCUGUAUAGCUUUACACAUACAUUAGUCAUAUACACUUUUAAAACCAGGCAUUAAAUAUCUGGAGUGUGUGUAUAUAUAUAUAUUUUCAUUCCUAGCCACAUAGUUAAGUUUACCCUGUCAGUAUGUAUGUGUGUGUGUGUGUGUGUAUGUAUAUAUAUAUAUAUAUAUAUAUUAAAUAUACACACAUUUCAGACAGGGUAAACUUAACUAUGCCGGUAGAAAUGAUAGGGCUUUAGUAACAGGCUGAUUUCAUAGUACAAGAGUAUCAGAGUACAGCCUGCCAAAGAUCUUGUUUUAUACCAUUGGUUUUUAUUUUAGUUUAUCAACACUUUUUGGAAAAUGUAAAUAAACUUGUAAGGCUUUCACAUAAGAAAACUACUAUGUAUUGGCCGACAAUUUUAAUUAAGAACUAAUCUUGUGUGUCUGAGAGAAUGUGCACUCAUAUACACACACAUAAGGAUCUUGCUUGUUACGACUAGAAGUAUCUCGUUUAGUUUAAGAUCCUUGUCAAUUUAUAAAGAUAUAUUUCCUCUACUCACCAAAAUAAUAAUAAUGAUAAUAAAAAGCCUCUCUUUUGUGCCUUUGCACCAUGUGAGAAUUAGCUGCAGUACAAGAAUGACCUAGCUGUGAAUUAGACAUUACAAAAACCAAGGCAAAAAAAAAAAAAAAGGUUCAAAGAACCAGUUCUUAAUUUGUUCUAGCAACGCUCAUUUCCAACUUGAAUAUGAUGUCGCACAUUUUGAAAGCAAGCAAGAAAGCAGUUGAAUGAAUCAACUUCCAAUACUUGUGUCACUUCAGCUGGAAUGAAAGUCAACGCUGAGCCCAUAAUCCCAUAAUUUGAACUGAGACUGUAAGUAAAUGCUACAAAGCACUUAAUCUGGCAUCUUAGAAUUUCUGCCAGUCAAUCAGUUUAAAUGAAUGCUCCACAUGGCUUCUAGAUCUAAGCUCAUUAACAUGGCCCAAACAACAGUGCCAUGAUUUUUACAUAACAAAAACUAACUUGAAAACGCUAUGGUUAACAUUUAAUUACUGCAUUCUAUCGAGACUAGUUUUUAGUACGACAAUAUAUAUAUGUGUGUAUAGUCGUAUGUAUGUCACUGGAUUCAUUAAGCUGUUAGAUGUAUAUACACUGCUGGUCACAAUGUGCUUUUCCACAUUGUUGUAACUUUCAAAUGAUGCCACCCUACUGGGUAGGCAAGCAGGCCAACAUACCCUCUGAAUGGAACCCCAAUUUAUCAUAGGGUUGUUUAUAGCUGAGAGGGCUGGAGCAAUAGGAAAUUAUUUUUUCAAGAACACAACACACUACUGGUCUGGGAACUGCACAACCUUACGUGAAUGCAAAUUUCUUAACCACUAGGCCAUGUGCCUACACACGCACAAAUGCACCAUAAUAUAUAUGCAUGUGUGUAUUUAUUAAGGUACAACUAAACCUUUCUUUGCGAUGUCCCAGACAGCUUACCUUUGGAGAUCUAAUAACUCUUUUGAAAACAGAAUAAUUUCCAUUUGUCUUUGAUCUUCCACCAAAUGCCGGCUUUUAUUCAAUAGAAACUUAGUGACAAAGCUGAAACCCUAAUUGCUUAUGAAAUUAACUCAAGUACAAGGUUAUAUCCAGCUGGCUGGUUGGUUGAUAUGCUUCAUGGCACACAUUCGCAAUAUCUUAUUCAUACAUGAGCGGCAGAGGGGUAGGAUGGGACUGUUUUACCCAACGAAGCUUAAGUAUAGGAAAUGAUGUCAUACAGUGAAUUAAUGCUAUUGCCAGGAACACGGCAUGUGUGAAUUCAAAGACUCAAGAUUUGCAAACAGUAAUAAUAAUGUUUCCAAUUUUGACACAAGACCAGCAAUUUUAGGUUAUCUUAGUUCAUUAUAGUACUUGACUAGUACUUUAUUUUAUCAAUCCCCACUAGGGUGAAAGACAAACCUGGCCUCUGUUAUUUGAACUCGGAAUGUUAAGAGCCGUAAAAAAUUCCACAAAGUAUCUUGUCUGACAUGCUAAUAAUUCUACCUGAUGGCUGCCUUUAUUAUUGCAAUGAGUUCUGAUUAACUACAAGGGCAGCAAUUUUGUGGUGGUAGGAGUUAGUUGAUCACAUCAGGCCCUAGUAUAUAACUGCUUACUUCAAUGUUAUCAACCCACCCCAUGGAAAUAAAAGCUGACCUCAGCAAGAUUUGAAAUCAGAGUGUAAGGACUUGGAACAAAUACGAGAUGUUCUUUUCUGACGCACUGAUUUUUGCCAGCAAUAAUAAUAAUAAUAAUAAAUUUGGUACAAGUCUAAGCAUUUUAGGAGAAGGACACAGUUGACUGAAAUGACCCUAGAACCAAAUUGUUUGUUUCAUUUAUCAACCUGCAGAAGCAUUGUUACUUUAACAGGAUUUGAAUUCCGAAUAUGCAAGCAUUUAAUUAGACAUUUGCAAAGCAUUUUGUCUAAUGCUCUAUUGGUUCUGUGAAACCCUGUUCAAAAAAUUAUUUCGAACAUUGACAUAACUACAGCAGUUUUGAGGAGAAGAGGUCAGUUGAUUACAUCACUUCCAAUACUUGACUAAUACUUUAUUUUAUUGACUCCUGGAGAGAUGAAAGACGAUGUUGACUCUGACGGGAUUUGAAAUCAAAAUGGAAAGAGUCUAAAAGAAAUACUGCAAGACGCUUUUUUUUUUUUUUUAUAAUUUUACUGAUCUACCACCAGAACAAACAAUUCUACCAAUUCCACAAUCCUAAAUAAUAGUAAUAAGGGUUUCAAAUUUUAAAUAUUUUUUUCAUUGACCCAGAAAGGAUGAAAGGCAAAGUCAACCUCAGCAGAAUUUUAACUCAGAACAUAAAGACCGACGAAAUGCUGCUAAGCAGCAUUUUGCCCAGUGUGCUAACGAUUCUGACAGCUCAUUGCCUUAAUAAUAAUGAUUUCUAACAUGGACCUAUAUAUACAUAUACUUGACUAAACACACACACUCAACAGCAGAACGAUCCCUGCAAUCUAAGAUACUUGUUUUAGUACAGCUUUUAUAGCUGAAUAUCAUUCCUAAUGCCAACUACUCUACAGAGUGUACCUGGUGUUUUUUUUUUUCUCUGUAACACUCGCACUAAUGAGGUUACCAAGUAACUCGUAAGACAAGACAAGAAAAUUCCUUUCGCUAAGUAGGGUUGCUUUGUUUUAUGUAUCUCCGCUGUAGCAAAACAUACCUGUCUGUCCGUCAUGCUUUAGCCUCUCAACAUCUGGCAUAAAGCCACCACCCUCUCUGCUACAACCCUACUUAGUCAAAGGAUUUUUCUUGUCUUACGAGUUACUUGAUAACCUCACUAGUGCCGGUGUCACAAAAAAAAAUACACCAAAUAUACACUCUGUAGAGUAGUUGGCAUUAGCCAUACUAAAACUGUGAGACUCAAUACAAUACUUUGCAACCUAUGCUAGCAUGGAGGAUUAACGCUAAAUGAUAAUGAAAUAUUGUUCCUCUAACAGUAUGCAUUGCCAGUUUAAUGCCAUUGUUGAUUAAUAAUUUAAACCAAAGUUUUUUUAAUUUACCAAUGCUUUUGAAUAUAGUGUUAGGAAUUGUUUCAUAAUCAAGUAUUCUUUUUACACAUUCAGAAACUGCUGACCUAUUUUAUUUGAAUCAACCCAAAUGAAGUAGUUGUCUUAUGACCCAAUAAACAGCUGUCAUUCAUAGCUUUGGUAACAAAUCAUCAUUGUUUUAAUGUUUCCAAGUAAUAUUUCUCCAGGAUCAAAUAUGUUCAACAAGACGGGAAACCAAGGACAUCACUUGUAUGAUGGUGACACCUCAAUACUAUCACAUGAUGUCAAGACAAUACAAUAACACAUAUACACACACAUUUAUAUAUAUACACACACGCACACACACAAAUGAUGAGCUUCUUUCAGUUUCUAUCUACCAAAUUCACUCACAAGGUUUUGGUCAACAAGAGGUUACAGUAGAAGACAUUUGUCCAAGGUGCCACGCAGCAGGGUUGAACCCAGAACCAUGAGGUAAGGAAGCAAACAUCAUACCAUGGAGCCAAUUUCACACGUCCUUAGCGACAUAAAUAUCUCAAUUGUGCAUGAUUUUAUUUAUUUAUAUAUAUAUAAUGUCUCGAGGUUUAAUCAUGUGACUUUAUAGGAUAAGAAUGUCAAUUUAUCAAUUAAACUACAUAGUCUAAGAUCAAUAAUGAAAGACGUGACUAUUCAAUCAACUUGUUGUUAUUGAUCACCACCCUUCCACUGAAAUACAAAUUCAUUGUCGCUUAUUGACAGUGGUAUUUUCUUUUCAUGUAACUUUUCAUAAUUGCUCUUCACAUUGCUAAGGACACACGUGUAACAACAAUUGAGGGGAAAAAACAAAACAGAAAACCUUGAGCUUUUCUUCAUUUGCAUACACGUAUGAAAUAGCUAAAAAAAAAAAUUUGUAGUCGAAUCCUCCCCUUCACCUUAUACAUGAAUAGUAAAUGUUCCUCUUUGCUGCACACAUCAGAUCAAAAGAUAUAUGAGAUUUGAAACGAUAUGCAUAACAGAACUUCCUUUUUAUAAUAAUCAUUAAUUCAAGUUUGCUUAAUUAAAUUGAUAUUAUCUUUGGCAUAAGUAAUAGAUAUGCUUUUUUUUCUUUUUAUUCUUUUUUUUUUCCAUGCAUCAUGCUCACUAUUCAACUAGAUCAUGUGUCUGUACUAUUUCUGUCAAAUUUUUUUAGCUUUGAUGUUGGGUAACUGCUACAGAUUUAUUCUCACACUGUGGCUUGUCUUCUCAAUGAAUAGAUCCACAAAUAAUACACAAUCACACAAACAGUGUCAUACUUAACAAAACCUCAUCUCGUUAGAUUCAGUUUUAGUCGAAUAAUAUAGUUAAGCAAGGACUAUUUAUCUGUCUUCACAUCAAAAAGACCAAAACACGAUCCUCUUGUAUGUCAACUUGUUCCAUGUGCAGAAGUGGGACAUGAGUAAGUCCCUUGCACACGGUUAAGUUCAUUUCUCAUUAUUUAGUUUAUGAUGUAAUUUCAGAUCUUCCCACUCUUAAAUAAAAUAGUCACCCACUUUACUUCUCCUUCAAAAUGUAUUUCUCUGUAGCUGAUGACUGUGAUGUAGAACAUUAAGGUAGGAUAUAGUUGAUCCUCCUAAUCAUACCAUGUCUGAUGGCACACAAGAUGUACAGAUAAAUUGGAUGACUUCCUUAGGUCACAACCAUGGGAUUCCACCUAGAAAGCUUCCUUCCAAGGCACAAGUCCAGGCAAGGUUGUUUGUGGAAGACUAGCAGUCACCCAUGCAUACCAGCCUUCCCUCUCCACACCAUCAAUGUUUUCCAAAGGAAAGACUGGCUGAUACAGUUUGGCACCCGAGAUGUUGCAACACAUUUUUACAGCUGAGUGAACUGGAGCAACACACAGUCCAGUCUGGGAAUUGAAUUCUCUACCUCAUGAUUGUAUGCCUGAUGCUCUAACCACUGAGCCAUGUACCUUUACAUAGACAUAUUAGACACACUUCAAUUUCAGCAGUGCAUAUUCAGAAAAAAAUACCUUAGAACAUUAAAGCAAUCCAGCUGAACAUUACAAAAGUACCUUAACUAUAACAGAAAACAAUACAGCUGAAGAGACUGUCUGGAUUAAAAUUAGCGUAUACUAGUGAGUUUCAAGGACUAAAUUAACUUAUAGAAAGCUCAACUUCACAAAUAGUCUUUGGGGUGUUCUUGAGAGAAUUCUUAUAGGAAAGUGCAUCUUAUAUCAUCAUCAUCAUCGUCGUUUAACGUCCACUUUCCAUGCUGGCAUGGGUUGGACGAUUUGACUGAGGACUGGCGAACCAGAUGGCUGCACCAGGCUCUAAUCUUAUAUGCCAUCAAAUAAUGGUACAUACAGUCAUGUGAUCAUUCAAAGUCUAAUAAUGUGCCUCCAAAGUAUUGGUUUAAAACAAAAAUAUAUAGUUGCAAGAAGUUGUUUACAUCUGCAACACAAACUUUGUAGGAAAAAAAAAAAACGAAGCUUUUCUUCAUCCAACAUGUUAAAAAGCACUGAUUGUCGGUUUGUAUUACAUGAUAAUGUAAGCAUAGUAGACAUGUAAAUUGUGUGAAAUACAUGCAACACCAUAAAGAAAGUUAUAUAGGGUUUACACAAAACCUCGUCAUUUGUACAGGAAUCACUGUAUUAGACUUUGGAUAAGCACAUUAACAGUAUGUAUAAAAUAUGGAUGAUGAACAAUAUUCUCUGCUCAGCACUGCUUUAGGAGUUAUGUGAUAGCACAAACUUGGAAAAAUGAGUUUAAUACUCAAGGAAUUUAUUUUGAGGUAGCUGCAAUAGAUAAACAUCAGAAAGGGGCUAAUUCUAUUUAUGGGAGCGGGGAUUUUUGUGAAAUCUAUUAUACAUUGAGGACAAAUUAACUUAAGCAAGUACAAAGGACUGACUGACUUAAUAUUCUCCAUUUCAUCUCUCAAAAAAAAGAAAAAAACUAUUAUAUCAAUAUAGGAUAAAAAUACAAAAUUUCAAAUGAUGAAAACAGCAUACUACUACUACUCCCCCUCAUCAUCAUCAUCAUCACAAUGUCCACUUUUUCAUGCUUGCAUGAGCCAGGCAGACUGUUUAUAGUUGAAUGCCUUUCCUAUCACUAACCCUCACCUUUUCCUAGUCAGGUUAAUUCUUCCCUAUAGCUGGACUUGAAACAAACACCACUUCAUACACACACCUACACUGUCUACCAUAUUUAGCUUGGGGCUAUAGUAGAAGACAUAUGCCCAGGGUGCAGUGAGAGUGGGUAGAAAGUGAAUUUAUUAUUCACACAGCCAUACCAACUGUUUGGGAAAAAAUUUGAAUGUGUUUGUAAAGUCAGAGGCUUGAAUGAAUAAUUGGAAGUAUUUUCUUUCAAGAUCCUCUGCAAUCACCUUUUGAUGUGUGUUCUAACAUUUUCAAUAUUUAGAAACAGUACCUGUUCAACACACUUUCUCUGCUACACCUACAGGCAUCCACAAUCAUGGACCUCCAUACCAAAGUCUGAAGAUGUGAUGUUUCUUGAUAAAGAUACAGCAAGUUUUCUGUUGUCUUCUAACUGGUUUAUUCAUAAUUUACUCUGCUAAUCUCCUACUCUUCUGAGCUUUUCCCUUGUGGCAUAGGGCCUAUUUAACUAGAGUAGUAGGGAAAGUAGGGGGGGGGGGUAAUAUAAAAGCACGUUUACACUCCCGUGGGCCCAAAUGAUACCUAUUUCAAGGCCAACCCUCUGAGUCCUGUGUGCUUUGGUCACAAGACCAUCUGACAUAUAACUGGGACCCUUGACAGAUACUAUCACCCUAAGCCAGAGUGAACCUGAGAGCUGCAGUGACUAAGGGGUAUAUUCACACACUGUAGACUUCCUGAACUCCCACGCUGGUGGCUCACCACUGGAUGCAAGAUAUACGCUACAAUAUAUACUCAAGAUAUAUACUACAAUCUCUCUGCUGGUGUUGUGUUUAAACAUCUAACAAAUAGUUUCUUACAUAUUGCCGCUAACAUCUCUGAAGUUGUCAGUUCGUAUUGACUUUCAUAAAAUGAUUUUGAUGUCUUGAUAAAGCUUAACAGGUUGAUUAAACAAUAUAUAAGUUUACUGAAUAUUUUCUGAAAUGAUCAAAGUCUCAAUAACUCGAAACUCCAUGCAACGUUUAUAGGUAUUUAUUUAUUUAUUAUUUGUGCAUUACAUUUCCAUACAUAUGCAUGUGUGUGUACAGAUAUAUAUAUAUAUAUACACACACAUGCAUACAACUCGGGGAGGAAGGUUUAAUACCUUUCUCUUUGAAGUUAUUAUUAUUAAAAAGGCAGUGAGCUGGCAGAAUUGUUCACACAUCAAACAAAAUGCUAGCAGCAUUUCAUCUGCCGCUUUACAUACUGUGCUUGAGUCCUACUGGGGUCAACAUUACCUGUCUUCCUUUCUGGGUCAUUAAACUAAGGUGCCAGCAGCACCGUCUGCAGUGGCUUGGUCAUGUACAUCGCAUGCCAGAUGGGAGGAUCCCAAAAGACCCCUGGUAUGGGGAAUUGGCCACCUGCACAAGAGCACAAAGAUGACCUCCUUUUUGUUUCAAGGACGUUUGCAAGAGAGAUAUGAAGUUGCUUGAUCUAGGUGUUCUGAGUUGGGAGGAAGUUGCAAAUGAUUGCUCAUGGUGGAGACAAAUACUGCAAAAGAGGAUGAAGCAAUGGGAAGAGAAACAGAAACUUGCCACCAAAGAAAAGUGUACUCAAUGAAAGGAAAAGCUAGUAGCACCGGUACAGAACUACUUCAAAUGCAGUCGCUGUAUGCACGACUGCCACUCCAGAGUGGGCCUUUACAGCCACAGCAGGCGCUACACCACCAUCAGCAGCUGACACAAUUUCUCUGGGUGGAGAUCCAUGGUCUCUCAAGACUGAUGGAUGCCUACUACUAAAAUAAGGUAGCUGUCCAGUACUGCAUCUGCUGUAAUUGAAUUGCCAUCUCCCUUCAAAAUUGCUAACCUUCUGACAAAAUUUGAAAUAAUAAUUAUUUUUAUUAUUAAAAAGGCAAACUGGCAGAAUUAUUACUAAACUAGACAAAAUACUUAGUGGUAUGUCUUCUGGCUUAUUUUACAUUCUGAUUUCAAAUUCCACCUUUGCAUACUUUCUGCAUCAAUAAAUAAAUACCAAUUGAGCCCACGCCAAUAUAAUCAACUUAUCCCUACCCCUAAAAUUGCUUGCAUUGUGCCAAAAUUUGAUGCCAUUAUUAUUAUUAUUAUUAUUAAGCUAGCGUAGCUUUUCUAACUGCUGUUAAUGUCAAUGUCCAGCAAUUAAUGAAAAUUUAUUCAAUAUUGCAGUCUCCUUUUAAAUUCGUGCCAAAGCAACAUGAUUCUAAUUCUUGUAAUAAACUAAACAAAGAGUCCACAGAUUUAAAUCACAUAACCAAUUCCUCAUUUAUGAUUCACAUAUUUCUUCGUUAAAUUUAUUGAAUCAUCUGAGUUUUGUUUUUCUUUUUAAUUUUUAUACCUAUGUAUAACAUUUAAUGUUGUAUAUACUGAAUUACUAGAAAGCAUAGUUAUUUAGUAGCAAUUUAGCAAUAAACGAUAGUAUCUUAGUAAAACAACCAGUAACUGAGAAGCACCCUUAAAAAGGUGGGGAGGGGCAUGUCUGAGUGAUCUUUGAAAAUUACAUGGUUAAUGUGUUGGUAGCUCUUCAUGUGUGAAACCAUAAAAAGAAUGAGGUCUUUAGAAAAUAUUUAUAUGCCAAGUUAAUCAAACCACUUUUUUGUACUAAGAAUAAACUUCAAAGAGUUUUUUCUUUUUUUUAAAAAAAAACAACUGAAGUUUUCCGACACAGCAAAUCUAUUUAAUGAAAGAAGGGUAUUAUCUGGUUAAAAAAUUUUUUUUUUAAUUUUAAAUUUCCUCUUUUUUUUUUUUACUCUUGGCAGGUUUUAUAUAUAGAUGAAUGAUUAUUUUUUUGCGUGCAUCAGCAUGGCCGCAGCUCUGAGCCGAAACUACAGAAAAAAAAAACAUAUAUAUAUAUAUAUAUAUAUAUAUAUAUAUGUCCUGUUUGAAGAUAAAAAAAAGCAUAGUAAAAUGGAAUGUCUACUGCACUAUGGCAGGUUUUAUAUAAAUGGAAAUUUUAGUUUUGCAUAACUUAAGAAGUGAUAUAUAUAUACAUAUAUAUAUAUAUAUAUAUAUAUAUGAAGAUAAAAAAAAAUAAAUACUUUAUAAAUUUAUUUCAUCAUCAUCACUUAAUGUCCUUAUUCCUAUGCUGCCAUACAUUAGACAGUUUAAUAGGAUCCGAUGGGUCCAUGAACUGAAAUACACAGGAGCUCAGCACAGUUAUCUGGCCUGUCAUGUCCUGUCGAACUGUCCAACAUGGGCAUUAAAUGAUGAUGAUGACGAUCACUUUUACUUGCUCCAGUCAUUUGACUGCAGCCUUGAAGAGUUUUGGUCAAACACACCAAACCCAGUUUUUGUUUGUUUGUUUAUUUGUAAAUUUCGUACUUAUUAUAUUAGUCUCUUUUAGCAAACUGUUAAGGUAUUAGGAUGUAAGCAAGCCAACACCAGUUUCAAGUGGUGAAAUGGGCAAACACACACAUAGUUAAGAUGUAUAUACACUACAGGCUUCCACACAUUUUCCGUCUACCAAAUUCACUCACAAUGUAUUAGAAAGGCUAAGGUUGUAGUAGAAGACACUUGUCCAUGACGAUGGUUAAAUAAGUAAAAAAAAUAAUAAAUAAAUAAAGCACAGAACUAACCAAUAUUUCUACUGCACUAUGUGCACUAAACAUAAAUUAUGAGUCAAGAUGUAAUGUACCACUGCUUACUUUAAAAACGAAAACAACAAAACUGUAAAUCUAACUGGCUUGGUGCAACAACAUUAUUAUAACAACUAACUACAGACUAAAGCAGCUAUAGUAGAAAAAAGAAAAUAAUAAUGAUGAUAAUAAUAAUAAUAAUAAUAAAAGCAAAAUAAAAAUCGACGAAUGUGUCUAGUUUAAGUACGGUACAUAAUAGAUUUUUCACUUCAUUGUUUCAUUGAUCUGAGGGCAUUGAUUUGAUGAUGCCGCCUGCUUUUCAUGUUAAACACAAGUGAGAUGAUAUUUCCAAUGACUAACACAUGAAAUCAGUACAUCUGUUGCUUAGAACCAAACAGAGGGAGAGGGGAGAAAAAAAAAAGAAAAUAUAUGUGUAUAAAAAGUAAAUAAAUAAAUAAAUUCAAAUCCUUGCCUCUUUUCAAAAUUGCUUAACUAUUAUAACUACAUCUAUCACUUGCUGCUUACAAAUAUUGCUUAACUAUACUUAAUAUCCUCUUGAAUUUUAUUGGUUAUAUUGCAAAUGACUCACAAUGAACAAAAACAAUAACAAAAAACAAAAUGAUAAAAAAUCAAUCAGGAAAAAUAUAUUUUAAGUUCAAUCAAUAUAACAGAGAAUUAUUUUCAUCAUCAAAGAGAAAUUUCAUAUAAAAGGUUUAUUUUCUGAUUAAAAAGAAAAAAAAAACAAGGAAAGAAAUAAUUCAACUAUAUAGGGGAAAUCCGAAAGAGAAAAAAAUUCUUGAAUCUCAGUGAGUUAUUUACCCAAAGGCAGAAGAAAUUUCCUGCCUGCUGGCAGUCUCCCAAUAUUUGGAAUACCACCAUUUUCACCAGCCCUACUUAGUCAAGGGGAUUUUUUUUCCUUCUCCUGUUCUUUCAUCUCGCAAGUUACUUGGUAACUUCACUAGUGCUGGUGGUAUGAAAAAACUACACCCAAUACACAGUGUAAAGUGGUUGACAUUCAGUAGAGCAUCCAGCCAUAGAAGCCAUGCCAAAGCUGACUGACAUUCGAUCCUGACACAGCCCUGCAGUUUGCCAGUUCCAAUCAAACCAUCUAACCCAUGCCAGCAUGGAAAAAACUGACGUUAAUUAAUGAUCGUGAUCAUAUCAGUCAGCCUUUACACCAACAUCAUUGAUUUAAUAUUGACCAUUCAAGCAUAGAAAAAUCAAACAAUAUUUGAGGAGGUAGGUUUUAUACAUCUGAAUGCUCUUCCCUGCGCAAAUCUUUGUUUCUAAACAAGAUAAAUAUUUCCUUUAGACCUUUGAACGAACAAACAGCACAACAAUCAGAUAUGGUUUCAUAGAAAACUGCAAAUAAGAGACUGAUUGCAUGACGGUGACAUUUCUUUACAACGAACAUACAAUGUCAAGAAGACAGACACAAACUCAUUCACAUGCACACGUACAUACAUUUAUAUAUAUAACAUACAUAUUUGAUGGGCUUCUUUCAAAUUUCAUCUACCAAACCCACUCACAAAGCUUUGGUCGUGGCUAGGGGUAGGCAAUAGGGAAAACAUUAGCCUAAAGUGCCAUGCAUUGGGACUGAAACCCAAACCAAAUAGCUGUGAAAUGAACUUCAUAACCCUACAGCUAUGCUUACACCUAUCCAUGCCAGCUUAAUACCAAAUACAGAAAAAGUUGUAGACCAAGUUAAAUAAAUACAUGGCUGUAAAAGUCUAACCUCAACUAUGAUACUUAAAGUCUGAUUAUUCAACAGAAGCUAAUAUUAUGUUCAUCUUAUAUAUGAAGGCUCUUCUUAGGGCAACUGAUUUUGAUAGUUGAAUAAGCAGGCCGACUUUAUUUUUUCUCGUUUGUUUUAAUGCCUGUUUUUUCCAUGCUAGUAAAGGUUAAGCUAAGAACUUUUUCAAGCAGGAUUUUACAGCUGGAUUCUCUUUUUGUUGCCAACCCUUACUUGUUAUUCAAGUAACGUGUUAUUAUUUUGUUCCACCCAGGUCUUCAAAAGCACAGAGUUAUUGGUCAUAAUGUCAAAAAAGAAUAUUAACAUCUUGUCACUGUUUCACUCAGUUAGUGACAACAGUGGAAUAUAAAAACACACGGAUAUACAUAUGUAUGUGUGGUAAGAUGUCCCAAUUACAAGGUUUUGAGUUCAACUCCAUUGUAUGGCACCUUAGCCAAUUGUCUUCUGCAAGUGAAUUUAGUAGACAGAAACUGAAAGAAGCCUGUCCUGUAUUUAUAUAUAUAUGUAUAUAUGUGUAUGUUCUUGCUUUCAGUUGUGAGUGUCACUUAACAUCUGGUCAUGGGGAAAUAUCUUACUUGGAAACAGAUGAGGGUUGGCAAUAGGAAGUGCAUCCAGCUGUAGAAAAUCCACCCUUAAUAAAACUUUUCUCCAAUCCAUGCAAGCAGGGAAAAGAUGAACACUAAAUGAUGAUGUGUUACAUGCUACCCGCUAAGG